GUUAUGGUUAUUCUCCAUAUGACGAUCAGACGGGAUUACACACGAGUCGAUGAUCUCCUCAGUAUCAUUUUCCAUUAAUUCAGCUUGCCUACUUAGAGCGUCUACGUGGGUCAUAUUCGAACCAGUGAUUGUCAUUUUCCAAUCGAGCGGCUUUGCAAUCGUUUUACAACCUCGUGAUUGGCUAUCGCAAGGCCGAAUACAUUGACUAGAGAAUCACUUAGCUCCUUCCAGGUUUUCGGCAUUUCGUACAUCAUAGACUCCAUGGCUUAGCCGCGUUAUAUACGGUUUGCAAGUGACCAGCUCGUUUUUAAAUGGCUGUUCCAAAAUUUGACCUGACCUAAAACUUUUAGCAUUCAAAUCCACAGCUACUGACGUUCUCGUGGACUCUUCUUUGGCGACACACAAUAUCUCAACAGUCUCGGCCAUUACUGAUUUUACCAGAGUAAGCAAAUGGUAGAUAGACGCUUCGUUGCACACAGGGACUCCUUUCUCUGCAAUCAGCUUGAUGAUAUCGGCGGAUAGCAUUAAUCAGAUAACUUUUGGAGUGCCCAACUUCUAUUUAUAAAAAUACCUAUAUACCGCUUAUACUACUAUCGCUCAACACCACUAAAUGUUGUGACUGUUGAAUUAAAAAAGUUUACAUUAAUGUUCACUGUUUACAAUAGUAAUAAUGUUAAUAAUAUAUUUCAAAGGCAUUCCCAACAAAAUAAUUGUAAAAUCCAUAGAACAAAAAGAGCCACCACAAAAUACAAAUAUUGCAAACCUGCUAGAAAAUAUAAAUUUAUAAAAAAAUGAAGAAUGCAGGCUGAAGCGAUAUGCCCAAAUAAACAAAGCAAGCUCGAUCACGACCUUA